UGCACGCCGCCGCCAUCCUCGCCCUCGUGGAGCAUGAGAAGCCGCCAAACCCUACCACAGGGAAACGCCUAGCGACAGCUCGAUGCCCUCCUCCGCCUCUUCUUUGAAGGACACCUGAAGCUCGGAAAGGAGGACUACAACUGUGCCUUGCUAGGUAAUAAUAUGUUCCCUGUGAUUUAGUAGGCAAAGGGACCGGUAUACUCCAGUUUGUCCACAUCAUUUAUAUGUAAGUUCCAAUUUAAUCUCCCCUCUGAUUCUAUUUUCAAUUUGUCUGCAUUAUUCUGAUGUAAGUUGACUCAUGUUUAGUUCAACUUUAAUAGUAAAAAAUAGCAAUGUUUU